GACGAACGCUGGCGGCGUGCUUAACACAUGCAAGUCGAACGAUGAAACCUAGCUUGCUAGGUCGAUUAGUGGCGAACGGGUGAGUAACACGUGACUAACCUGCCCCUUUCUCUGGGAUAACGCUCCGAAAGGAGUGCUAAUACCGGAUACUCACACCGAGGCACAUGCCUUGGUGUGGAAAGUUUUUCGGAAAGGGAUGGAGUCGCGGCCUAUCAGCUUGUUGGUGAGGUAACGGCUCACCAAGGCGACGACGGGUAGCCGGCCUGGGAGGGCGACCGGCCACACUGGGACUGGGACACGGCCCAGACUCCUAAGGGAGGCAGCAGUGGGGAAUAUUGCACAAUGGGCGCAAGCCUGAUGCAGCGACGCCGCGUGAGGGAUGAAGGUCUUCGGAUUGUAAACCUCUUUCAGUAGGGACGAAGCGAAAGUGACGGUACCUAAAGAAGAAGCACCGGCUAACUACGUGCCAGCCGCCGCAGUAA
rnacentral:rRNA from 1 species